GAGAUUUUCAAUGUAAUCAUUUCUAGACUUGAUUUGCUUAUUGUUAACUCUUGUGUUUUGGGUUUAACCAUUCUUUCGAAGAUUGCAACAAAAAGUUUUCCCUUAUCUUCUUAAGCUUUAGUAGGAUUCAGAAAGCUCUGACCCCUCCAUUAGGAAGACUGCAAAAGGAUGCUCAUUACUUCCUCAGGUAUCAACUUCUCUGCACUCUCAGUACCUUUGGGCCAGAUGGGGGUCACUGGAGAACCUAGCU